CAGUGUCUGGUGGGUAGUUUGACUGGGGCGGUCUCCUCCUAAAGAGUAACGGAGGAGCACGAAGGUUGGCUAAUCCUGGUCGGACAUCAGGAGGUUAGUGCAAUGGCAUAAGCCAGCUUGACUGCGAGCGUGACGGCGCGAGCAGGUGCGAAAGCAGGUCAUAGUGAUCCGGUGGUUCUGAAUGGAAGGGCCAUCGCUCAACGGAUAAAAGGUACUCCGGGGAUAACAGGCUGAUACCGCCCAAGAGUUCAUAUCGACGGCGGUGUUUGGCACCUCGAUGUCGGCUCAUCACAUCCUGGGGCUGAAGUAGGUCCCAAGGGUAUGGCUGUUCGCCAUUUAAAGUGGUACGCGAGCUGGGUUUAGAACGUCGUGAGACAGUUCGGUCCCUAUCUGCCGUGGGCGCUGGAGAACUGAGGGGGGCUGCUCCUAGUACGAGAGGACCGGAGUGGACGCAUCACUGGUGUUCGGGUUGUCAUGCCAAUGGCACUGCCCGGUAGCUAAAUGCGGAAGAGAUAAGUGCUGAAAGCAUCUAAGCACGAAACUUGCCCCGAGAUGAGUUCUCCCUGAGACUUAGAGUCUCCUGAAGGAACGUUGAAGACGACGACGUUGAUAGGCCGGGUGUGUAAGCGCAGCGAUGCGUUGAGCUAACCGGUACUAAUGAACCGUGAGGCUUAACCUUAC
rnacentral:rRNA from 3 species